AUUUUCCCCCCCCUCCCUUCGAUUUUAACCCGUACAGUGCUAAAAAAAUCCUGAUUUCCCUUUCUUCCUCAAAUUCGUCUUCUCCAUUUUCUCUGUACCUGCAAAUUAAUCAAAACCGACCCAUUUCUGUUGCUACACGGUUGUCCUCUUCCACCGAAAACCACCAUUGACAGCAAAUCUGCCUCCACCGAUUUGGCUCCUGCGGCCAGCCUGUUCUACAUUUCCUCUUAGCACGGUUUCGUUGAUCGCGUCCUCCCCGUCCUCUCCUCCACUCGGUUGUUGCCGAUUAACAUUGGUGUCAAAAUGUGUUACUGGUUUGUGAAUUUGUUGUUGGGUAAAGCAACGUAAUUUGCACCGAAAUGAAGGACCUCUUUUAUCCAUCAGUUUCUGUUUCUCUUGAGUUUGAGAGCUGUAAAUGGAGGACCAUGGAAUGCCCAUUUAAACAUGCCUAUAGGCAGGAACUUUCCUAGUGAAUGCUUGCUACUAGUGAAUGAGAUGCUUGGUUCUAUUGAUGAAAAUGAGCCGCUUCAGAAAGGAGUAUAACCGCUCUGUUUCCACACCCUGCUUAGGUAGCGUAGGGAAAACGUUCUGUACAGCUAACUGAGCGGUGUGUGAGCUUCCUCCUCUCUUUCAUCCCAAUGACUAGGCUAUAACUCGUACCUGUCUCGAGCUUAUUGGAAAUAAAGUUGUUGCUUGUGUUGGAAAUACUAGUGAAACGUUUCACUAGUAUUUUUUUUAUUUAUUUUUGUAACAGAUUAUUUUUAGAUCUAAUGUAUUACUGAUGGAUGGAUUUUAUAAUACUAUCUAGUCUUGUGCUCUAUUUGUGAAAUUGCAAUGAGAAGGACAUGGCAAAACAUCUAAGGGUAAGAUGUUUAAUAUCUCAUGAUUUAAAGAUUUGACCCUAGAUGCUCU